GUCUAGUUAGCUUAGAGGUAGACCCUCUGCCUUGUAAGCACCAGGUCGCGGGUUCGAUUCCCGCGACG
rnacentral:tRNA from 1 species